AUAAUUAAUCUGACUGUAUAACAACUACGCUAUGAAAAUGUGUUCAAAUUUCAAACAACGAUAUACAAAGCUUGGAACUUAACACGGUGAAAAACUUGUGGAGCGACAAUAGGUUAUACUAUCCUGAAUUCAUACCGAAGACAGAUAUCACAGAUGCGCCAACUUACGAAGGUGAAGCACCGUUCAUUGGAGAUCCGACCUCUCAAGUUUCUGAACACUUCACAUCACAACCGCACCUCAAAAACACCCACAUACCGACAAACAACAGCUCUUCGGAACAUUAUACCAAGUAGUCAUGAUCGAUCGAUGAUUAAAUCGGCAAGGCAAAGCGAUGAGAGACAAAAGGCCAAAUCCAGAGGAUCCUCCAACAUGAUUCCGUUCAAAAAAAUACGAAUUUUGACUCUGAUUUUGAUAAAAGAUAACAGGAGGACAAGAAAAUGAAAAUUUCCAUGUACGCGAUUGCUAUCAUAUUGGGAAGUGAGCGAUUUAUGUUCUUAAAAAGGAAAUUUUAUGAAUUUUUUCUUUAAUCGUUGA